rnacentral:sRNA from 1 species
GCAACAACAAUGGCCAUCAAGCAUUUUGUUCGCACCUCUGUGAUCAGAAGCAGCAGUGUUGGAAGCACAGAUCCUCAGAAUUUGGAGAACACGGUUCUUGCUUUCCAUCCUGACUCUCACAGGCUGUGUGCAAACUGCUCCGGAACAUGUGUGUGCUCAGCUCCCUCCCAUGGGGCUGGAGGAUGAGGGAUGGGUAGCUGCUGCUGUGCUAAGAGCUUAAGUUGGUCAUAAUUAACUGCGCUUUGCCACCCAAGCCUUCCCUGAAAGUUGCAAGCUUUCAAUAGACUCCAGAGUUCUAAAAUAGUGACAUUAGACAGAUUCUGCCAGUGCAAUCGCUGUCUAGGAGAGGAGACAGAUUCCUAGUGUUUCCUGUUUUGCCAGCUUCCCGGAAUCUUCUUCACAUAGCAUCCGUUUUGAAGAUACUAUUUACUUCUCAAUUUGGGGCUAUUCAUUGAGUAGACUGUCAACAGGUUAUUGGCUGUUUGAAGAUCCUCAUUUGUCUGCUAACUAUACCUCUAUUUUUUUUUCUACAUUCACCUGGAAGACAUGUCUUCUUCAAGAGCACCUUGACUCUGUCCAGAAGGAGUUCAUAAUUUUCAACAGAGAAAAAGUAAAAAGGGACUUUAACAAAAGACAACCAAAUCUAGCCUUGGAACAAACCAAAGACCC